UACGUAGGGCGCAAGCGUUGUCCGGAAUUAUUGGGCGUAAAGAGCUCGUAGGCGGCUUGUCACGUCGGAUGUGAAAGCCCGGGGCUUAACCCCGGGUCUGCAUUCGAUACGGGCAGGCUAGAGUGUGGUAGGGGAGAUCGGAAUUCCUGGUGUAGCGGUGAAAUGCGCAGAUAUCAGGAGGAACACCGGUGGCGAAGGCAGCUCGCUGGGACGGUACUGACGCUGAGGCGCGAAAGCGUGGGGAGCAAACAGG
rnacentral:rRNA from 1 species